GGUGAGGCGUUAACAGUGGGCGGGCGUGGCUCGGGCUCGAGGGCGUGGCUCAGGCUCGUGGAGGCGUCCGAGCUCCAGGGCAGCUCUGGGGCAGAACUGUCCGGAUCUAACAAUCCCUGGGGAGCCGGAGACCGGUGACUGCCGCCCUGCCCGCAGGCCAUGUGGCCCCCGCUGUUGCUGCUGCUGCUGCUGCUCCCGGCCGCCCCGGUCCCCACCGCCAAAGCCGCUCCCCACCCGGAUGCUAACACCCAGGAAGGCCUUCAGAACCUGCUCCAAGGAGUCGGGGCUGGCGGAGACGGAGAGCUGCGGGCAGACUCACACCUGGCCCCGGGCUCUGGCUGUAUUGAUGGGGCUGUGGUGGCCACGCGACCAGAAAGCCGGGGAGGAAGACCUGCGGUUCCGUGAGAGGCGUCCAGGGCUGCAGGCCACGGCGACAGGCUCCGGGGAACAUGGGGCUUUCCCUGUCCACUCCCAAGGAGUGUGGGCCUCAACGCAUUGGCAGGGGACGGCCGUGUGCCCUCUCCAGACCCCACCCCCAGAUGCAUUUAUUAGAAAUAAUAAAGUUCUUUCUUAGCUAGAAAAAAAAAAAAAAAAAAAAA
rnacentral:lncRNA from 1 species